CCUACGGGAGGCAGCAGUAGGGAAUUUUGCGCAAUGGGCGAAAGCCUGACGCAGCAACGCCGCGUGAUUGAUUAAGCCCUUCGGGGUGUAAAGAUCUGUCAGUGGGGACGAAACUUGACGGUACCCACAGAGGAAGCACCGGCUAACUCCGUGCCAGCAGCCGCGGUAAUACGGAGGGUGCAAGCGUUGUUCGGAAGCAUUGGGCGUAAAGGGUUGGUAGGUGGGAUAUUAAGUCUGGUGUGAAAUGCAGAAGCUCAACUUCUGUUCGGCACUGGAUACUAGUGAGCUGGAAUGCGGUAGAGGUAAAGGGAAUUCCUGGUGUAGCGGUGAAAUGCGUAGAUAUGAGGAGGAACACCGGUGGCGUAGGCGCUUUACUGGGCCGUAAUUGACACUGAGGAACGAAAGCCGGGGUAGCAAAUGGGAUUAGAUACCCUUGUAGUC
rnacentral:rRNA from 1 species